GUUGCCGAUACCGGCGGCGCUGCAGACGCGACUCUUGAGAGUAGAGUCAGGUACGCCAUCCCCUUUCACCAUUUGCUUGACCAGGCUCCUGGUCCAAGGAGACCCAUCAGAAUCGAAUAGGAGGUGUACCAAUGUAUGAUGACUCAAGCAUAAGACGGAGGAUUUCUCUCAUGUUGCAGGUGCUGAUGACAGCUCAGCAAAUGCCACUGAUGGCGAGGAGGGCGCAGAAGCGUCAGAUGGGGACCUGAAGUCAGAGCCGGCCUCGACAGCCGCAGCUGCAGCCAAUGCUGCCAGGGCCGCUGCCGCGGCGCGGGCAGCUUCCCGACUGAGAGAAGAGGAAAUGAAGCGCAGGAGCUUGGAAGAAGAG
rnacentral:lncRNA from 1 species